GUUUAAGAGAGAGAAACAAGCUGUUGUCUCAGCUGACUACAAGGAACAUCGGGUGUAUAGGUGGCUCAGUGGCCAUAGUGAUACCCCGAGGUUUGCAAGACGCCGGAGACCGGUCCGCAAACCAAGACAAUUUACCAUCGACAAAUCCUCAGGCGAAUCCAACUCCGAAUCAGAUGCUGCUAAUCCAUCCAUUCAACGUAAGCCUAACCAAGAUUCAAGGGUAGCUUUUUUAGAGUCCCGUCCCACAGAACAUCAGGGGAUAAUUACGAGGUACCAGAGCAGAGCAGGCAACACAGACACAGGUACAUCACAAGACGAGGACAGAGG